CUCGCCGUGGUGGACGCCUGCCGCACGGUCGGCUGCGAACCCGCCGAUCUGGCCGACGAGUUCGACCAUGUCGGCGAGA
rnacentral:tRNA from 1 species